UACGGAGGGGGCGAGCGUUAUUCGGAAUUAUUGGGCGUAAAGGGCGCGUAGGCGGUUUGACAAGUCUGAUGUGAAAUCUAUGGGCUCAACCCAUAGCCUGCAUUAGAAACUGUCGGGCUUGAGUAUGGGAGAGGUUAGUGGAAUUUCCGGUGUAGCGGUGAAAUGCGUAGAUAUCGGAAGGAACACCUGUGGCGAAAGCGGCUCACUGGACCAUAACUGACGCUGAGGCGCGAAAGCUAGGGGAGCAAACAGG
rnacentral:rRNA from 1 species